GAUGAAGAACGUAGCGAAAUGCGAUAAGUAAUGCGAAUUGCAGAAUUUCCGUGAGUCAUCGAAUCUUUGAACGCACAUUGCGCCCUCUGGUAUUCCGGGGGGCAUGCCUGUUCGAGCGUCAUUAUCACCCCUCAAGCCUCUGGUUUGGCGUUGGGCUCCCCGAUCGUUUUCAGUCGGCGGCCCCAAAUAUAAUGACGGCGUCCCCGUGAGACUCGACGCACUGAGCUUUUUGCAAGCACGCGUCGUAGCGCUCCGGGUCGACCCGGUCUCAAUCUUUUACAUUUUAUCAAGGUUGACCUCGGAUCAGGUAGGGAUACCCGCUGAACUUAAGCAUAUCAAUAAGCGGAGGA
rnacentral:misc_RNA from 1 species